AGCAGAUGAUGAAUAUACCACCGGAGAAACCUAAUGUAGUUGUGGUUGAAGAAGGUA
rnacentral:sRNA from 1 species